rnacentral:rRNA from 1 species
AUGAAUCUUCUGGCCUGGAACUGUCGAGGCUUGGGGUUGGACUCGACAGUCGGUGAAUUACGUGACCUGGUACGGUCCCACAGCCCAACGGUGGUUUUCUUAAGUGAAACGAAAAAGAAAUCAAGGGCUAUGGACAAACUCAAAUGGAGUCUGGGGUUCUCAAAUGGAGUGGCGGUCGAUUGUGUUGGCCGGAGCGGUGGCCUAGCCCUCUGGUGGUGGGAUCAUGUUCAAGUCAAAGUGAGGCCUUGGUGCCAAUAUUACAUUGAUGCGGAGGUUGAAUGUGAGGGGAAACUCUGUAGGAUCACUGGAUUUUACGGAGAACCACAGACAGAACUAAGAAAGAAAUCAUGGGAUGCGAUACGAGAUCUGAGGGCACAAGAUGAUCUCCCAUGGAUUUGUUGGGUGAUUUUAAUGAGGCUCUAUUUCAAACGGACCAGCGUGGGGGUAACCGAAGGAGUUUCUCGCAGAUGGAAGACUUUAGAGACUGCCUCGCCGACUGCGGCUUGGCGGAUCUCGGAUUCUCGGGCUACCCUUUUACAUGGGAUAACAAGCGGGACGGUCAAGAUAAUAUUCAGGUUCGGCUUGAUCGGGCUACAUGCAAUGAUAGGUUUUUGUCCAUCUUCCCGGAGACGAUGGUCGAGCAUAUAUUGA